rnacentral:lncRNA from 1 species
UGGUGGUUCUUUCAAUGUUAAGCCCCAGAGAGGGGGGUUGGGUCAGGCAUAUGUCGGGCAUUUGAUUUUUUGAGCAAAUUUUCAAUCAAAUGCCCCACUGUUAGGUAAUAAGUAUUGGUCAAACACCCCACCAUUUUGCAAUAAAUUGCAAUAAAUACUAUAUUAAUAAAAGUCAUUUUGGUUCAAAUUGCCCAAACUCAGGCCCAAAAUGCUAAUCAAAAUCCCCAGAGUGGGGAUGCAAUUGAUGAUCAAAUACCCCACAUAUGCCCACCCCCCUCUGGGGCUUGACAUUGAUAGGUGCAAUUAUAUGCAGGUUUUUUUUGUAUUCUCAUGUAAUGUACCACAAAGUAUCAGCAGCAUGUUAUUGUGGGA